rnacentral:lncRNA from 1 species
UUCCGUGUCCCUUGCAGAAGCUGCAGGGAACUGGAGGGUAGUGUGGAGACACCUGCAGAGUUGCUGGACAGUCUCACUUCUACAGUCCUCUGUCCGCCUAGCCUCAAGGCCGAGGCUGCCUGCGUGGCCUCGUGUCUGGUUGCCUGCUCCUGGCGCCUGUGCUGCCAAGCAUCGACCCGGAACCGGAGCGUUUUUUGGUUUGGAGCUGUUCCCAGGAGGCCCCUAGAUGACGCGGCUUCUGUCCCAAGUACCGAGAGAAGAUUCCAGGCUAUGUGUUAGGAACUUCGUGCCUAUUAACGUCUGGAACGCGUCAGCUCACAGGAUUUUGGCAAAACUGUUUCCAGGAAAGAAGAUGGAUACAUAUGGGCAUCACUGUGAGAUCUCCCCUUGUAAGUCAUAUCUUUGCUUCAUUGGCUAUCACAGAAAAAAGCACAUCUGAUGAAGAAGAAAAUUUUCCAACACAAAGUACCAUCUCUUAGCAGCCAGAAAGACAUAAAAAGUUCACUUUCUGGGUGGCCAACCAGAAGGGUGCUUCUGAGAGACCAUUUCCUAACAGGCAGGGGUUCAGGGCCAG